rnacentral:rRNA from 1 species
UUUUAUGGAGAGUUUGAUCCUGGCUCAGGAUGAACGCUGGCGGCGUGCCUAAUACAUGCAAGUCGAGCGAACGGACGAGAAGCUUGCUUCUCUGAUGUUAGCGGCGGACGGGUGAGUAACACGUGGAUAACCUACCUAUAAGACUGGGAUAACUUCGGGAAACCGGAGCUAAUACCGGAUAAUAUUUUGAACCGCAUGGUUCAAAAGUGAAAGACGGUCUUGCUGUCACUUAUAGAUGGAUCCGCGCUGCAUUAGCUAGUUGGUAAGGUAACGGCCUACCAAGGCAACGAUGCAUAGCCGACCUGAGAGGGUGAUCGGCCACACUGGAACUGAGACACGGUCCAGACUCCUACGGGAGGCAGCAGUAGGGAAUCUUCCGCAAUGGGCGAAAGCCUGACGGAGCAACGCCGCGUGAGUGAUGAAGGUCUUCGGAUUGUAAAACUCUGUUAUUAGGGAAGAACAUAUGUGUAAGUAACUGUGCACAUCUUGACGGUACCUAAUCAGAAAGCCACGGCUAACUACGUGCCAGCAGCCGCGGUAAUACGUAGGUGGCAAGCGUUAUCCGGAAUUAUUGGGCGUAAAGCGCGCGUAGGCGGUUUUUUAAGUCUGAUGUGAAAGCCCACGGCUCAACCGUGGAGGGUCAUUGGAAACUGGAAAACUUGAGUGCAGAAGAGGAAAGUGGAAUUCCAUGUGUAGCGGUGAAAUGCGCAGAGAUAUGGAGGAACACCAGUGGCGAAGGCGACUUUCUGGUCUGUAACUGACGCUGAUGUGCGAAAGCGUGGGGAUCAAACAGGAUUAGAUACCCUGGUAGUCCACGCCGUAAACGAUGAGUGCUAAGUGUUAGGGGGUUUCCGCCCCUUAGUGCUGCAGCUAACGCAUUAAGCACUCCGCCUGGGGAGUACGACCGCAAGGUUGAAACUCAAAGGAAUUGACGGGGACCCGCACAAGCGGUGGAGCAUGUGGUUUAAUUCGAAGCAACGCGAAGAACCUUACCAAAUCUUGACAUCCUUUGACAACUCUAGAGAUAGAGCUUUCCUCUUCGGGGGACAAAGUGACAGGUGGUGCAUGGUUGUCGUCAGCUCGUGUCGUGAGAUGUUGGGUUAAGUCCCGCAACGAGCGCAACCCUUAAGCUUAGUUGCCAUCAUUAAGUUGGGCACUCUAAGUUGACUGCCGGUGACAAACCGGAGGAAGGUGGGGAUGACGUCAAAUCAUCAUGCCCCUUAUGAUUUGGGCUACACACGUGCUACAAUGGACAAUACAAAGGGCAGCGAAACCGCGAGGUCAAGCAAAUCCCAUAAAGUUGUUCUCAGUUCGGAUUGUAGUCUGCAACUCGACUACAUGAAGCUGGAAUCGCUAGUAAUCGUAGAUCAGCAUGCUACGGUGAAUACGUUCCCGGGUCUUGUACACACCGCCCGUCACACCACGAGAGUUUGUAACACCCGAAGCCGGUGGAGUAACCUUUUAGGAGCUAGCCGUCGAAGGUGGGACAAAUGAUUGGGGUGAAGUCGUAACAAGGUAGCCGUAUCGGAAGGUGCGGCUGGAUCACCUCCUUUCUAA